AACGCGAAGAACCUUACCUGGUCUUGACAUCCACGGAAGUUUUCAGAGAUGAGAAUGUGCCUUCGGGAACCGUGAGACAGGUGCUGCAUGGCUGUCGUCAGCUCGUGUUGUGAAAUGUUGGGUUAAGUCCCGCAACGAGCGCAACCCUUAUCCUUUGUUGCCAGCGGUCCGGCCGGGAACUCAAAGGAGACUGCCAGUGAUAAACUGGAGGAAGGUGGGGAUGACGUCAAGUCAUCAUGGCCCUUACGACCAGGGCUACACACGUGCUACAAUGGCGCAUACAAAGAGAAGCGACCUCGCGAGAGCAAGCGGACCUCAUAAAGUGCGUCGUAGUCCGGAUUGGAGUCUGCAACUCGACUCCAUGAAGUCGGAAUCGCUAGUAAUCGUGGAUCGGAAUGCCACGGUGAAUACGUUCCCGGGCCUUGUACACACCG
rnacentral:rRNA from 1 species